UACGGAGGGUGCAAGCGUUAUCCGGAUUUACUGGGUUUAAAGGGUGCGUAGGUGGGUCUGUAAGUCAGUGGUGAAAUCUCCGGGCUUAACCCGGAAACUGCCAUUGAUACUAUAGGUCUUGAAUAUCCUGGAGGUGAGCGGAAUAUGUCAUGUAGCGGUGAAAUGCUUAGAUAUGACAUAGAACACCAAUCGCGAAGGCAGCUCACUACGGGAUUAUUGACACUGAGGCACGAAAGCGUGGGGAUCAAACAGG
rnacentral:rRNA from 1 species